UGCUGACAUGGAGGUGCUGAGGAUGUUAAAUACUUACGUCAAAUAGUAAUUUCUGCAUUUUUAUCUCCAAAUUAACUUACAAUGGGAAUUGGGUUACUUGGUUUGUUUCUUCUUCUAAACUGCACUGUUCUAGAUGCUGUCUGACACAGCUAUGCUAGAAGCCAUGCGUGAAGUUAUUUAUCUUGCUGGGUUCCUCAAAGACUAGGUUCAGAGGAAUGGGUGCUUAUGUAGAAAAUUUGUGAGGAAAGAGUCUAAUGAAACCACAGGUGAGAUUUUCUUGAGUGACAUUAGCCAGUUCUGUGCAUCAUUCAUUCCCCGUUCUUUUCCCUCAUCCUCUUUGCUAUGUUCAGCAUUUUAGCAGUGGUCAGAUGAUCCCAAGCACUGAAAGUAUUCAGUCAAAUCCACAUCAACCUCAGUGACUAUUAGCUGUGUCCUAAAUGGCUGUGCCAACUGCAGGUGAGCUGGGAGGGGCUACAAGCCAAGCACCAAUGUAAAUGCUAUGUUACAGGCAUACAGCCCUAAACACUGUGUGAAGAAUGAGUUACAACAUUUGUUUUAAUUAUAGUGAAUUGAUGAAUUGCAUUUUGAUGAUCUGCUGUUUUAAAGAAAUGCCACUGACAGCGUUGGGACAGAUGAAUCAAGUACCACUUCUGGAGUGAUUCUCUGCUUGUGUAUCCUGAAAGGUGUGCAUAACUGCAGGAAAAUACCUAUGUAAAUAAUCAGGCCAAAGAAGCCAUGCUCUGCCUUGGGCUACGUGACAGCUCCUGACCUCUGGAGAAGUCCAGUGCCACUGCCUGAUAAUGCCACCUAUUCAUGUCUCAUAUCAAAGGCACGAAGAGACUAGCCCUUAAUGCUCGUUGUAAGUAAAACGCUGAGCAGCUUGCAGUGGUUGUGAGCAGAUAAAGCUGUAUUCUGCACACUCUACUCCAGCCCUGACUGUGCUUUUGCAGUUAAAAGAGUCAAAGCCAGCAGGUACUCCAGCACAGCGUGUUGUUGAUAGUAGCCUUGAUUGCUCAUGCCUACCUGA
rnacentral:lncRNA from 1 species